rnacentral:rRNA from 1 species
UACGUAGGGUGCGAGCGUUGUCCGGAAUUAUUGGGCGUAAAGAGCUCGUAGGCGGUGUGUCGCGUCGGCCGUGAAAACCUGGGGCUCAACUCUGGGCGUGCGGUCGAUACGGGCAUCACUAGAGUUCGGCAGGGGAGACUGGAAUUCCUGGUGUAGCGGUGGAAUGCGCAGAUAUCAGGAGGAACACCAAUAGCGAAGGCAGCUCGCUGGGACGGUACUGACGCUAAGGCGCGAAAGCGUGGGGAGCGAACAGG